rnacentral:rRNA from 1 species
UACGGGGGGGGUAAGCGUUGUUCGGAAUUACUGGGCGUAAAGGGCUCGUAGGCGGCCACCUAAGUCAUACGUGAAAUCCCUCAGCUUAACUGGGGAACUGCGUGUGAUACUGGAUGGCUUGGAUUUGGGAGAGGGAUGCGGAAUUCCAGGUGUAGCGGUGAAAUGCGUAGAUAUCUGGAGGAACACCGGUGGCGAAGGCGGCAUCCUGGACCAAUAUUGACGCUGAGGAGCGAAAGCUAGGGGAGCAAACGGG